rnacentral:rRNA from 1 species
CAGCCGCCGCGGUAAUACCGGCGGCCCGAGUGGCGGUCACUAUUAUUGGGCUUAAAACGUCCGUAGCCGGGUUGGGAAGUCCUCCGGGAAAUCUGGCCGCUUAACGGUCAGAAUGCCGGAGGAUACUCCCAGCCUAGGGAGCGGGGGAGGCCGAGGGUAUUCCCGGGGUAGGGGGGAAAUCCUAUAAUCCCGGGAGGACCACCGGUGGCGAAGGCGCUCGGCUGGAACGCGUCCGACGGUGAGGGACGAAGGCCAGGGGAGCAAACCGGAUUAGAUACCCGGGUAGUCCUGGCUGUAAACGAUGCGGACUUUGUGUCGGACAAGCUAUGAGCUUGUCCGGUGCCGGAGGGAAACCGUUAAGUCCGCCGCCUGGGGAGUACGGCCGCAAGGCUGAAACUUAAAGGAAUUGGCGGG